rnacentral:rRNA from 1 species
AACACGUGGGCAAUCUGCCCUUCACUCUGGGACAAGCCCUGGAAACGGGGUCUAAUACCGGAUAACACUCUGUCCCGCAUGGGACGGGGUUAAAAGCUCCGGCGGUGAAGGAUGAGCCCGCGGCCUAUCAGCUUGUUGGUGGGGUAAUGGCCUACCAAGGCGACGACGGGUAGCCGGCCUGAGAGGGCGACCGGCCACACUGGGACUGAGACACGGCCCAGACUCCUACGGGAGGCAGCAGUGGGGAAUAUUGCACAAUGGGCGAAAGCCUGAUGCAGCGACGCCGCGUGAGGGAUGACGGCCUUCGGGUUGUAAACCUCUUUCAGCAGGGAAGAAGCGAAAGUGACGGUACCUGCAGAAGAAGCGCCGGCUAACUACGUGCCAGCAGCCGCGGUAAUACGUAGGGCGCAAGCGUUGUCCGGAAUUAUUGGGCGUAAAGAGCUCGUAGGCGGCUUGUCACGUCGGAUGUG